GGUCAAGCGAACAAGUGCAUGUGGUGGAUGCCUUGGCGAUCACAGGCGAUGAAGGACGCGGUAGCCUGCGAAAAGCUACGGGGAGCUGGCAAACGAGCUUUGAUCCGUAGAUGUCCGAAUGGGGAAACCCGGCCCUUUUGGGUCAUCCUGGACUGAAUACAUAGGUCCAGAGAAGCGAACGCGGUGAACUGAAACAUCUAAGUAACCGCAGGAAAAGAAAUCAACCGAGAUUCCCAAAGU
rnacentral:rRNA from 1 species